UGGGCAGACCUCAGCUGUGGAGCCACACCAGAGAGGCCGAGAGUCUGCCGGAGCUAGAGGAGGCCAGCCAUGGUGGAGGAGAGGGCAUGACACAGCAAGAGGCACUACUGCUUUUUAUGGGGAAGUCAUUGCAAUGGUUUCCGUUUCUGCACCUGGACGGUUUGUAUCGCUUCAUUGUGCCCUGCUGCUCGGACUUGGAAGUAUUUGAGAAGCUCAGUUUUCCACCUGUGCCAGCAGAGUUCCUGGGCAGGCCAUCCUGCCCCUUAUGCCUGCCUGUCCAAGAUAACUGGCACUUACUUCAUGAGACAUGGGUCUCCUUCCCAGCUGAGCGCCAGCUGGCAGCCAGGGCAGUGCUGACAGGCAUGGACCAGAGAAUUUCCUCCAUUCCAGAAAUACUUAGCAACAGGUUUGUUGGUCUGCCCUAUACUUGAUGUGACUGCCUUAGGGAAUGAGGCAGUGUUGAUCGUUAUUGGAGACAGUACAACAUGAAUAGAUGGAAGAAUUAACAAACAAUGGAUUUGCUGCUCUAGGGAUAUUGUUUGGAAACAUUUCUGGGUUCAAAUAGCCCAGACUGUGAACCUAUCUUGUUUAUCAAAGCUUAAAGGGAUUGCAGGUUACGAAGCUGCAAAAUGGUGACCAGAAAAAGUUUGAGCUAACCGCUGGUGUGGAGCAGGUGCCAAAAAACUAUGCUAAAUUCUUGUCAGAAGUAGAAACAGGUGGAGCAGGGAAAACGAGGGUAAAUGUGUGAAGUUUGGGGGGUUUUGUUUUUCUGUUUGUUUAGUUUGCUUAAAUAAAUAAUGGGGUAAGAAGCUUUUCUUUUCA
rnacentral:lncRNA from 1 species